GGCAUGUGGGAUCUUCCUGUACCGGGGCACGAACCCGUGUCCCCCGCAUUGGCAGGCGGACUCUCAACCACUGCGCCACCAGGGAAGCCCCUCUUACACUUUUGAUACUGGACAGAGGCAGUCCUGAGUAAAAUUCUGCAGAAACUAUAUAACAUGGAGCCAGGCUUCCAGUCUCCUGUGGCUGUCUUGGUCCCCCAGAUCCCUUUCCUCCACCCACCUUUACCUCAUCCAGGCAGGGCCAGCUUUCUUUGUGAUAUGCUUUUGUCUACCUGUGUCCCUUCCUUCCAGUUCUUGACACUCCUUUUGUCAUUAUAUCAAUCAUCUGUCACAAGACUCAACUCCAUGAUCCCAGGCAGGGUAGUCAGCUCAGUUUUGCUCAGCACUCUUGACCCAGCACCUAGCAUAGUACUUAGGCUUGAAUUUGCUCUGAAUCCAUAUUUGUUGAAUGGAUAAACAAACAUUUUCUUCUUAGAAAAUAUUCAAAUAAUAGGUUAACUAUAGAAAGCAAUAUUCCUGCAAUCAUUCAACUAGUAUUUAUUGAGCUCCUGCUAUAUGUCAGGCCCUGUUCUAGAUGCUGGGGAUACAGCAUUUAACAACCCAGGCAAGACAUAUCCCUGCCCUCAUUGAGUUUAUAUUUUUGUGGGAAGAGACUGACAACUAAAUUACUUUAGAAGUGAGCAUGCUUUGUAAGUGCCAUGAAGAAUAAUAAAGCAGGGCAGGGUGUAGGGACCCGGGUGAGGAGGUAGUGAUGGUUGUGCUUUCAGAUAGAGUGGUCAGGAAAGGCCCCACUGAGAAGAUGAUAUUUGAAAGAGUUGAGGGAGCAGGCCAUGUGGCUUUCUGGGAGUAAAGGCAUUGUAGCUGAGAGAACAGCUGAUGAAAAGACCCAGGGGUCAAGGAAGAACAGGGAGCUGUUCAGAUGAAGUGAGUGAGGGGAGAUGAGGUCAGAGAGGUGUAUGCGUUGGCGGUGGGUAGGCACGUGCGGUAGAGUUUGAUAGGCCAUUGGUAGGGCUUUGGCCGUUGCUCUGAAUGAGAUGGAAAGCUCCUGGAGGGGUCUAUGUGGGAGAAUGAUGUCAGCUCACAUCUUAAAAAGUCUUAUUCUGGCAGCCAUCUGCUUAGACAUUGGAAAAAACUAGGGAGCUUUUUGUGAUCAUCUAAGUAGGAAAGGAAGGAGGAAGUUGGGAGACUUUUGAAGUAAUCCAGGUAAAAGAUGAUGGAGGAGGUGGUGAGAAGUGACCUACAGUGGAUAUAUUCUGUAAGUAGAGACAACUCCGAAAAUACUUUUGUCGAUGGGUUGUAUGUAGGAUAUGAGACAGAGAGUGGAGUCAGGGAUGAUUCCAACUUUUUUGCUUGAGCAAAUGGAAGGAUGGAGUUGCCAUUACUUGAGAUGGUGAAGUCAGGGAGGAGCACGUUUUAGGGGGGGAAACCAAGAACUUCGUUCUGGACAUGUUGAGAUAUCAUUAGACAUCCAAGUGGAGACUUCCUAAAGGCACUGGAUAAAUGAGGAGAGGUCUCCUGGGCCGGAGAUCGACACUUGGAAGUUGCCAACACGUAGAGAGGGGUGUUGAGAGAGAAAGUACGAAGUCCAAGGAUUGAGCCCUGGGGUUCUCCCUCAUCGGGGAGUGGGAGGUUUAGGAGGAGCCAGCAAAAGAGAGAGAGUGGCCAUGGAGGUAAGAGGAAAACCUGGAACGCUGGCCUAUUGGAAGUCAGGUGAAGAAACUCUUUCCACAAUUUUGAUCUGCUGAUCUGUUAAAUAAGAUGAAGACUGAGUGUUGACUUGGAUUUUGCAUUGUGGAGGUCUGUGAUUUGAUAAUGUCACCAAUAGAGAGUCCCCUGAAUUUUCUAAGCAUCAGUUCCAACCAUGUGCCACCCAAAUGUAGGGGUCAUUUAUUAAGCUCUCUGCAAUGCUCUGUGCAAUCCCCACUCACUAAGGUUUGAGGUAGGAGGGCAGGUCCUUACCCACCUCCAUUUCGUCCUUUAAGAGGAGGGGUUUGGGUUGAGGGUCACAGCACAGCUUUCUCUAAAAACACUUCCAUAAAUCUUUAAGAUCCUCCCUUGCAUAAAAGAUCCCUUGACCCUUUUUUAUACUUGAUGGAAAUACUUUUAUUACUUGAUGUAAAUAUUUUUUAUAUACUUCAUGUAUGAUAGCUCAUUCUGUAACUUUUGAACUCUUGAGGGGGUUCCAGAGCUGGGGAAUGGGUUAUCAGACAUUCCCUAUUCCUUGAUGUUGUUCUGCUAUAGCCACAGCCCUAGCUCCAGGAAUGGAUCCUGAUUUGCUAGAUCAGCCAGUGUGGGGUAUUCUCCAGGGAAUUAUUGGUCCAGUUGGGCACAUGACUGAAAUUGGCUCAGUCAGACGGCAAAAACAUACUAAAAUUCCUUGGCCGGCUCACUGGAUAUAAACAAGGAGGAUAUUGCCUCCAUUUCUGCUGACAAUCAUCUGAUGACCAAAGGGGAACCAGACUUUAGAUGAAGCCAAUGCUGUGGACAGAAGAAUAGAGAAUUAGAAAGAACCUGCAACUCUGCAGACACUGUUGAGUCAUUGAGUUAACUAAGCCAGACCCUGCCAUACCUCUGGACAGUCCUGUUAUUGGUUUAGUGAGUUGGAGUCAGGACUCUAUUACUUGUAGCUGAAAGCAUUCUUGUUGAUUUACAACUACACAGUCUGACUCAUCCCAGAAGUCAGGUUAAUUUCAGAUUCUCUAACUCCCUUUGUUCCCUUCUCACUUUUUCCAUUGCUUUUUUUAAAAAUUUAAUUUUAAAAAAUUGAGGUGGCAUUGAUUUAUAACGUUGUAUAUUUCAUGUGUACAUCAUUAUAUGUCUACUUCUGUGUACCCUGCAGCAGGCUCACCACCAAAGAUUUAGUUUCCAUCUGUCCCCGUAUGGUUGAUCCCUUUUACCAUUUCACCCUCUCCCCACCCCUCUCUGGUAGCCACUACUCUGUUCUCCGUAUCUACAGUUUGUGUUUGUUUUUUCCAUUGCUUUAACCCUUCCAUUGCUGAUACUUGUGGGGCAACUUAUCUAUUAGACAUAGUGGGCACAGUGCUUAAGGCCCUCAAAAAUGUUUUAAAAUUGCCCUUCCCCCUUCAGUGUUGACCCCGAACCCUCUUUUCUUUUUAUGUUUUGGGGGAGGAGCCACCACAUCAGCAGCCAUCAUCAACCAACCAGUGGGAUCUACUUAGUGGUACUGUGCUAGGCCUUGAAGAUGUGGAGGUAAACAAGGCAAACAAGAAUAGCUCCUCCCUUCACAGAAUUUUUGAUCUAAGAAUAGUGGGAUAUUAGGAAUGUAAAAGAAAUCCUUCAAGUUGACAACCCACUGGGGACAAGACGGCUGAAAUGUAUGAGACAGAAGCCAUUUCUUCUCCUUUUUGUUAAAACCAAAGAGGCAUGGUGGACCCUGCCCCUCACACUGUGCUUCUGGCCCCAUGACUUAUGGGUGAGCCCAGAGGCCGACCCAGGAGUCUUUCUCCACUGGAAACAGUAGAAAGACUCAGCACGGAGUGACUGAAGGAUGGAAGAAGAUCUCAGUGGAUCAGGUUGCCUCAUUUUGAAAGUUGGGUAAAGCAUGUUGCCCAGUAACACAAUCUUUGUGCACAAGACACAAGAGAAAAGCUAUUCUGCUACCUGAGUCCAGUGACAGGCAACUGGUAAAUAAAUGCCGGGUGUACUGGUCAGGCCUGGCUUUGCAUCCUGGCUCAGCCACAAACUGUGUGAUUUAUGCCUCCAUUUUCCACUCUAAAAUACGGCUGAUAAUAACAUUUACCAGCUCAGGUGAUGGUGAGGAUUACCAGCCAAUGCAUGUAAGGUGCCAGUGCCUGAGGUGCAGUCAUCUCUCCACAAAUGAUGGCUAUGAGGAUGAUAAUCAAGAUAAUUCAAUCCACCAAAGUAUCGAGUCAGAUCCAAGUCCAGGUUAUUUUAAAGCUCAGGCAUGUUUCCCAUUUGCUCUCUUGCUUCUAUUCUCAGGCUGCUACCCAGGCCAGGCUUAGAUCUCUCUCUCUGCUUAACUGAUCUUCCCGCUUCUAGGCUUGUCCCCUCUUACCUUUCCGUCACUCUGCAGCCUCAGAUUCUUUGUCCUCACCCCUUCCCACCUAUCACGUCUCUCCAUUUAGUUCUACUUCUCCAUCUUUCAAACCACUCUUCUAGGUCUUUUUCUUGCUUGCUUGCUUGUGAGAUACAGCAGGCAUGCAAAAAUAAUGUACAAACUCUGUACCCAGUUUAAGGAAUGAUCAUAAACUACUCAACAACACUGUUGCUCUCCAGAACCCUCUCCACUCCUGUGUGCCCUUCCUUGGUUACAAAACCAACCCUCUCUCCAAGAAGUAACCACUAUCCUGAUUUCUGUGAUAAUGGUUUUGCUUUUCUUUUUAGUUGUACCACCUAUGUAUGAUGAAUCACUAGACGAUAUAUCUCACUUUAGUGAAUCCAAGAAGUUCUCUUUUUUUAUAUUUGAGCAUGUCUGAAGUGGAGACAUGCUUCUGAUGAUGGCUUGUCAAGGUUUCAUUGGCAGCACGUUUUUUCUUUCCUAGAAGAAGUAUAAAAUAUAAAUACAAUAAUAUAAAAUAAUGGUGUGUUUUACAAUUAGUGGCACCCUAGAGCUGAUGUAGACUAGUUGUGCUUGCUUUUGAACCAUAGGAAUGAAAUUAUACUGCACGUGUUCUUUGACCUCUGUCAUUUUUCUUUUUUGGAUCAGCAGGGUGCUUGUGAGACUCUUUCACUGUUACUGCAAGCAGUUGUAGCUUGUUCAUGUUGUCUACUACAAACAACAACGCUGCCAUGAACAGUCUUGUGCCAGUGCCCUGGGCUCACAGGGGUUGCAACACUAGGAAAAGGCACCAUAAUUUCUCUCUCAACCACUGCAUUUUUUUUUGUUUCUUUUUUUGGCUGCCCUGCACCGCUUGAGGGGAUCUUAGUUCCCUGACCAGGGAUUGAACUCAGGCCAUGGCAGUGAAAGUGCAGAGUCCUAACCACUGGACCGCCAGGGAAUUCCCUCAACUACUGCAGUAUUAUCCAGACAUGAGCUUAACAUUGAUCCCAGCUAGAGCAGUGUGUUUGAAACACAAAUCUGAUCAUCUUAUUCUCCUGCUUAGAACGUUUUAAUGGUUUCCCACUGUUCUCAGACUAAAGAUUGACAUCUCUGAUACAGCUUUCAAGCCCUCCAAACCCAGUGCCAGCUCCCACCAUCAUUCUUCUACAUUUUUCCUCUAUGCUCUACAGCUACAGCGGUCUUCUUUCAGUUUUUUAAACAAGCCUCCCCCAGGCCACUCCUACCCACCCCACCCCCCAGCUGGUUAAGUCCACCCAUCCAUCAAUCUAAGCUCUUGCCUCAACUCUUCAAAUAAGCAUAGGUCAUGACCCUUUACUGUGUCUCCUCGGAGAACUCUCUUCCUUUUAGAAUACGUAUUAGAUAGGACAUGGAUCUGCUGGUGCAACAGAGACUCUGGUGACAUUAAUGUGAUAGAAGUUUAUUUUUCGCUCAAAAUACACUGUGUGCCUGGAGCUGAGGACUUGUCUGGAGGCUCUGUUCUGUCGGGAGCCCAGGAUCCUUCUGCCUUGUUGCGUUGACAUCUCUAGAUUGUUGCUUACCAGCCUGCUCUAAGAUGAUUCACCACCAUCUCGCAUUCCAGCCGGUGGAAGGGAGAAGGAGGGAAGGGAGGGCACAAUCACUCCUUUUAAGUGUAUGACUCAGGAGUUCCAAUGAUUACUUUUACUCACCUCUUACUGAUCAGAAGUUGGUCACGUGGCCACACCUAGCUGUAAGGGAAGCUGGGAAAAGUAGCCUUUAUUUUGGUUGCCAUAUGCCUGGCAGUGAACCUGGAGAUCUGUUCCUAUAGAUGGAGUGAAUGGAUAUGGGGACACCUAGUGGUCCCGGUGGCAUAACACCCAACCCUGACUGCAUUAAUUAGUCAGGGUUAAUGUAUACACUACAUUAAUUAGUGUAAUUACUUGAUUGAUGUCCAUCUAUCCCACCAGACUGUAAUCUCUACAAGAGCAGGGACCAUAUCUAUUUUUGCUGACCAUUGUGUCCUCAUCAUCUAUCCCCAUGCCCGACACAGAGUACGACCUUAAUAAAUAUUUGUUGAAUGCAUGCAUCAAUGAAGAGAUUGGGUCUCUGACUACCUCUUGUUAUUUCUGGUGUCACACUUGAUACUCCAGCCAGACCAAACCACUUGUGGUUGCCUUAAUUCAUUCUCUAUUAAAAAAAAAUUUUUUUUUUUUUUGCUAAUCUGAAAAGCAAAAAUAGUCACCUCACUGUUUAACUUUCUUUGAAUUUUGAGAUUACACACAUUUUUCACAUAUUUCCAUUAAUACUUCUUGUUUUGAGAUUUGAUAUGACCAAUUCUAACAACAUCCUUUGAAGUACACUAAGAGCUCAACACAGUAGAUUUUAGUCAAAGUUAGGCAGCAUACUCAGGCACCUGCUUAAUGAGGAGUAAAAUAUAAUAAUGCUUGGAUUAGGGCUUUCGUGCAAUUCUACCUGAACGAUCUUUCUUAAACCUGAGCUUUCCACAAGAGUUGAGAAGCAAAGAGUUAAAGGUUACAUUCCCUGUUUAGAACCUGGAGGGUUGGCGUGAUGUUGUGAUUUAUAAUAAGAAAUCUGUAUUUGGUCUUCCUCUCAUUUCUGGCACAGAGCUCCUAAAAUCCUUGGCAUUUCCUACGUGUUAAGAGCAAUUAAGGUGCCUUGAUAGAUACGCAUAACAAACCCCUUUCAACCACACCUGAGUUUAUGUUAAUGAGGUGACUUUUGGAAAGGAUCUAAGGUUAGGGGCUUGUUGCCAGGGGAAUGUGAUUGGAGGGUUGGACAUUUCAGUCCCACCCCCUGACCUCCGGAGAGGGGCUGGAGGUUGGCCAAUGGCCAAUGAUUUAAUCAAUCACGCCUGCAUAAAGUAGCCGCCAUAAAAACGCCGAAGGAAGGGGUUCAGAGAGCUUCCAGGUUGGUGAACGUAGCUACAUUCCGGGCCUUACACUCCACGGGGACAGAAGCUCUUGCACUGGGGACCUCACCCUACGUAUCUCUUCAUCUGGCUGUUCAUUCGUAUCCUUUAAUAUCCUUUGUUAUAAGCUGUUAAUCUAGUAAGUAGACUGGUUUCCUGAGUUCCGUGGGUCAUUCUAGCAAAUCAAUCAAACCUGAGGUGGAGCUUGUGGGAAUUUUCAAUUUACAGCCAGUUAAUCAGAAGCACACAUAACAAGCUGGACGUACGACUGGCAUUUGAAGCGGGUGAGUCUGGUGGGACUUGGCUACUAACCUGUGGCAUCUGAGGCUAUCUCCAGGUAGAUGGUGUCAGAAUUGAGUUAAAUCGGUGGGACACCUGGUAAGUGUCCUCUGAGAAUUAAGUUAAUUUCCUGAUGGUGUGGAAGAAAACACACCCAUUGGAGAUGGUGUUUUAAAUUGCUCUUUAAGGUCAUAUCCAUGAAUUUCAGCAGUCAGUAAAGAUUAACGUUGUAUUGAUAACUGAAUAAGUCUGAUUAAGGCACGGUGGGAAGGAUGGCCAGCUCGCCCACAAUUACCCAACCACACCACCGACUACCAGAUAUUUUCCUUUUUUAAGAGACAAUAGGAGUAUAGACACACAGGGAUUGGAAAGGGUGGGAUUAGAGCACCAGAGGGAAACUGUCCUUGAAAACGAGAGAAGCGCGAAAGGGCUGCAGAUCCAGCCACUGGUCGAGUUCGCACUUGGCAUGAGGACCUAUUCAGGUCACAGCAGCAGUGAUUACCAAAGGAGACAGACAAAAGACAAGUACAAGAAAGAGCUGAAACCCCUAGCUCUGUGCUGACUGCUUUCGCGUCUGCAUGUCUCCGGCAGUCCGUAUGCGGGCGGCCGCCAUGAUGCUGUGUCAGUUCCAGGCCACAGCCACCAGCCGCUGCAGCGCAAAAAUAGAGGAGAAGGCCGGCUUGGAGCUGGAAUGGGGAGGUCGGCUCUUCCGGUGGUCAGCAGGCUUUUUGCCUGACGCUGAUUCUCCCAGCUCUCUGGGUGAUCUCACCACUUAGGGGGAGGCGGGAGUUCAUGUCAGCAGAGUGGAACAGACUCCUUGUCCCUUCAAAGUUGAGAAUGCUACUUUCUAGACCCUUCCAUAUCUCCAUAUAAAUAAACCAAGCCUGGAGAGUCUCCAAGUCACCUCUGUUAAACAAGACAGAAUUUAAGCUUCUCCUAAGAGCUUUCUGGUAACCUGAUUUCCAUUCCGGUGAAGAAGUAAAGGUACGCCCACCAGUGUGGUGGUGACAAAGCACAAAAAAUAUGAGAAGCUGCCUGUGGACACGUGUUCCAGUGGUUACAUCACGCACAUGGUUUUCCUGUUUCUUAGUAAAAUAGAUACGAAUACUGUCACAUUGAAAAUUCACAAAGUUCCACGUGUUUGGUUUCAUCCUCACCUUCUUUGUUUUUUUUCUUUUUUUAUAAAUUUAUUUAUUUAUU